CAUUAGGGCAAAGCAUGUGCAGAUCCCCCAUCAAACGGCGCCGUUCAAUGGAUAAUAUAAACUAAAAUGUUUUUUUUUUUACUUCACUUUUCAGAUUUUUUUAAAAAAAUCAGAGGGAGCCUCAGCUUUCUUUCUCAACCCCCCAUUUUCUCAAAUGGCCGACGGUCCUAAGACCUCCGGCGCGCCACCAACAAGGCCAGCGACCGGCGCUGGAAAGCGGGACUGUUAGCCCCUGUCUCAAGGCGUCCUUGAGAGCCAAGACUCUCUCCACCCGUGUGAGUCGAAAACAAAGGAGGUUCUCGGCCUCUUGGGCUCGAUUUGGACGACGGAGGAGAGACCCUCCGAUGACGGAACCAAGGCCACUUCCGGUGUCAGAGGCGUGGCGAUGGCGUGCGAGGAGAUGAAGCGGUGCGCAUGGAAAGAGGCGGCGUGCGAGGAGGUGGAGCGACGCGCAUUGCUGAAGGCGUGCAUGCGGCGCACCCUAGGGCUCCCCAUCCUCUGCUGCUGAAAGCUUUUUUUUUGGGGGCCUGUUGGGUUUGAAUUGGGCUGGCAUAAUUGGGUUUAUUUUUUUUAUGUAAAAUGGACUAUGGGUAUUUUAUUUGUUAUUGGGUCCGAGCGAAAUCUGGGCUUUACAAAUGGUGUUAAAAAAAUAAGAUUUAAUUUACAUUCUGAUAAUUCAAAAAGGAAAAGAAAUCUUAAUGUCAAAGUUAAAAGUGAUAUAAUUUAAAAAUUAAAUCUAUCAUUUUAAGCUUGAAAAUUACAAGCUUAGCUCCUAAUGUUUAUUUAUUUUUAUCA